rnacentral:rRNA from 1 species
UACGGAGGAUUCAAGCGUUAUCCGGAUUUAUUGGGUUUAAAGGGUGCGCAGGCGGGAAGCCAAGUCAGCUGUGAAAACUACGGGCUUAACUUGUAGACUGCAGUUGAAACUGGUUUUCUUGAGUGAAGUAGAGGUUGGCGGAAUUCCGAGUGUAGCGGUGAAAUGCGUAGAUAUUCGGAGGAACACCGGUGGCGAAGGCGGCCAACUGGGCUUUAACUGACGCUGAGGCUCGAAAGUGUGGGGAGCAAACAGG